CCAUAAUUUCUGGACUGCUUGUUAAGUGGUGAAUUUGAACUCCAAUUAAUUUAGGCUUCUGGAGUCAGAUUAUUGUUAUUUGCAGCCAAGAGUUAUAGCAGCUGGUCCAAACAUCUUCUGCCUUUGGAAGUAAAACCACUUAGGAAAGUUGGAAAAUAAAAAGAACUCUUGAUGCCACCACAAUGAGUAUCUCACUAUACUGCUAUUUGGUCUUUCAAGUUUAUGUAUGCUUGCAUAUUUUCUUUAUAUAGCUGUUAUCAUACAAAGCCUUCCAAGCUAUAAGUUUUAAUAGCUGCCUUACACCCCUGCAUAAUUAUUUUACCCAUACAUUUUUGUUUGGCAUGUAGGUUGAUGGCUUUUUUUACAUUAUAAACAAUUUAUGAGCAUAUUUGUGCACACCACAUUUUUCAUAUUUCCUUAGAUAGAUUUCCAGAAAGGGAUCAAGGCAAAUGAACGAUUCUAUGACCUGUAAUACAUAAAGUCAAAUUGCUUUCUAAAAGGGUUACAGUAAUAUACACUGCUACCAACAAUGGCUAUAUCCAUUUAUUUACUUUUUUUUUCUACACUGAGUAUUAACAUGAAAAAAUGGCUACUUUCAUGAAAAUAAGAAUAUUUUAAAAGGGGUGAUUUUAAUUCAAGACACUCUUGGACAUUGUUCUCUCUCUUUGCUGCCUCUUUCUUGCUAGUAAAUGAACCAUUAGACUCCUAUAGUGUAUAAUCUGAAAGCCAAUCUAUCUUUCAAAUGCUACCUAACAAUUACACUACCUUAUAUAGACAGAAUCUUCUGUAUUGAAGAAACUGCAAUACAGGAAUGAUCUCUAUUCAAUGAGGGAAGAAAGCUAAUUUCAGAAAGUGCAAAUGACUCACCCUAGGUUGUAGAGCAAAAAAAGGAAAGAACUUACAUUUCUGACUUCAAGUCAAGGGCUCUUUUGAGCGUGACAUAACCGCUUUUUCGCUUCAACAUUGGUGCUAAGCAAACCCCACAAUUCCAACCCUGACUUAGAUGACCGAUCCAAAAAUAAAUUAACAAAGGCCUGGUAGAAACCAAUUAGUGGAAAGAAGCAAAUUUAACAGAGUGAGUCUGUAUUUUAUAUUACCUUUUCCUUUGUUCUCUGAGUAUAUAUUAUGGGCACUUUUAACUAUGAUGUGAAGCACAGCAUAGAAGAACAAGGGAAACCACAAAGCAGAGUCUGUUAUGAGCAGGGCAAAAGCAAAUUUUAUAGAUAAGAGAUAAUUUUAAAAACCCUAAUGGUAUAGAAUGUUUAUCAAAAGAGGCAGGCCCAUAUCUAUAGAGCAUGGUCGCUUCAAAGAGAAAAAAAGUAGUAAUAAUGGGUAAAACCAGUGUCUCCUGGGUCAUCCAGUAGGACAGCUAUGGAGGCAGGAUCACUGUUAAGUCAAGUUGAAGAUGAGCACUCUGGAUGAUCUGCUGGAUGCUGGUGUCAGUGAAUGUUUACCAGUUGGUGUGCAUUUACCAGAAGGUUUUUGGAAAAAAGAUAUUGGUUACAUAAGCUUGAACACAAAAUCAAGUUAAGGUAAUAAGAUUUUCGAGGCAAAAAAAAAAUUAAGUCUAGUAAUAGAAAGAAGAAAAUAAAAUCAGGACAUAUAAUUGACAUGGGGCAAUGGGUCUAACUUAACUUCCAUCCUUUACCCCUUAGAUCUAGCAGGAAACUACACCUCAGGACUAACAGAAAGUAAAGUUUAACAUGUGACCUUUGGCUCACCAUAUCUCUUUUUUCACAUGUUCCAAGAAGAUGCUCACAAAGAAAACACUGCACAUCUCCCAAGAAAAACUCAUGAGGAGUUAAGAGGAAAACUUCUUCUCCCAAGACUUAUUCUCCUGACAUCUUAAUUCUGAGUCAGCUGCACCAUAAAAGCAAAUCAGGACCCAAGCCACUACACAAUGGACAUUCUGAAGCAAGCUGGAUGCCCUCAUGAGACAGGUGGUUCUCAACAUCUAGAGAACAAUUUCUUUCUUUCUUCCUACACUUGCAAUGGAGUAGAGAAGAAUUCCAACUAUUAGUUAGUUAAGGGCAGGGCUAAGGUUAAAGGGGAGUGACAGGGGGACAAAAACCAUAGUGGAAAAGAAAAACAAAAGGAGAUGAAAGAUGAAAUAGAGGCAACAAGGCUGGCCUCCUAGUCCUCUUUGGAGCUAGGAUGUAUGGGACAAUGAGAAGGUCCUGGAAGUGGACCACUCAUGUUUGAAUUCUGAGUUUUCCAUCUAUAGUAUGAUGGUGAAUACAUCACUGAGUCUUUUAAUCCUCAGUAUUUCCAUCUGUAAAAUGGAAAAAAUUAUACCUUUCUCAAGAGGUUACUGAAAAUUAAAUAUAAUCAUAUAAAUAUAAAGCACACAAAUUACUAUUUUUAUAAUAUGGUCAAAGAGGAUAUUUUUUCCAAAUAAAGAGGGUAUUUUCUUUCUUCAAAUAAACAUCUGAGCAGGAAGAAAGCAUCUACCAAGUGUGAGUAUGAAUAACUCUGUAUGUGUGUAUAAAACUUAAUACCCUAGAUAUUUUGGGAAAAUUAACUUCUUUUCUUUAUUAAAACUGCUCAAAAUGAAGAUGACAUUACUUCUACUGAGUUUGGUGUCUAGCACAUUGUAGGUUCUUAAUAUUUAUUUGUUGAACACAUAAGACUCAAAAAUACCAUUAAAAAUGAAGCUGAAUGAAUGUCAAGCAGCUAAUUUGUGAGGUCUGGAAUUUUUACAUAAGCAGUUUCAUCUUUACUGUGCAGGUGACCCUUUUUCAAGAAAACACAGAAAAACAACAAUGUGGGAAACUCACAAAUCCAUUCCUAUCCCCAAUUUCAAUCUUAGGGAAUGAAUAAUGCUUGUGUCACAGGUAAGCCUGUGCCAUGUACCAGUUAACUAUGACUGUGCAAUAAACCAUCCCAAGACACAAAGACUUAAAGAUUUCUUGUCUCCUUGUCUCUUAACCAUUCUCCCUAUUGGAUGGGCAGUUCAUUUGCACCUUUCACUUUAAUUCACUCAUGCGCCUAUGUUUAGCUAGAGAAUAGGCUGAACUGGAAAGCCCAAGGUGGCCUUAUUCACAUGUCCAGCAGCUGGAGAUGGCUUUCAAUGGCAUGGUAGGAGGAGAACAGACGGAGAACGGCAGGUCGCUUUUCCUCUCUGUGGCCUCCCUGAGGUUAGAUGGGCUGCCGGUCACGGUGGCCUCAGGACAGCUCUCCAAGGAAGGAAAAUGAAGCCACAGGUUUCCUAAGACCUAUCCUUGUAGACACACAAUGACAUUCCUUCCACGUUUGGGCAAAACAAGUCAAAAAGCCGUCUGGAUUCGAAGAGUGAGAAAACAGACUCCAAUUCUUUCUGGGAGUUACUUGGCAAAAACACCAACACGCCAGGAUACAUGGAAUUUGUGGUAAUCUUUUUCUUUUCAAUACAGAGAAUCAGUGUCAAUUGUGGCCCUUUGCUACCAAGAAGGCCCCAAGUACAUUUUCUCUAGACUCUAUGCACAAAAACUAUUUUAAAUUUAUCAAGUUAUGAGGUACAAAGUAAAAUGCAAAGGAAUUCUGAAGCCAAAAAUUACAACUAAAGCAAAAAUGAUAUUAAACACCUGAUCAGAGCCCAGAAAUGAGUUUCGAAGUAGAGACAAUUUUAAAAUAAAAAAACAGACAUGUAGAGUAGACCAUCAUGUUAAUUAGGCUGAUCUGAUCCUAGAAGCCAUAAUUUUUGCAUAAAUUUGCUAUGAAUGUGACUGUUUGGUAAACUGUAAGUUCCUUUGAAACAGGAUCUGCGUUUUCUCAAAUGCCAACAAUUAUUAAGCGUCUUAAUAAUUGCAAAAUACUUAAGUUCUCUAAGCCUCAGUUUCCUCUUGUGUAAGUUAAACCUAAGAGUAAUAUUACUCGCUUAGGUUUAUACUAAGAAGUGAACAGAAUCUAAGUUUAUCUCUGCUGACACAGGAUCAAUUUUCAGUAACUGGUAGAAAUAAAUGAGAUCUGUAACUAGCCAUUGCCUGGUUUCCAAUCCUAAAUCCUACUAAGCCCUACUUCGAAACUGUUAACACCCCAGGAAAAUAAUAAACUUCAUUAUUUAAACUGUGGAUUUUUCUUUGAGCUCUAAAAGGGUGAGGUUAUAGAAACCUAAGAAAGAUAGUAGGUAAUUUGCCUUUUAUUUUUCUUCCCAAAAUCGGUUUAUUGGGAGAAUUUGGGAAGCAAGCGCCCUGAGAAUACUUGAAGAAGGACUUCUAUGAAAAUCUUAGCAGAUAAAAGUACUGUGACUGACAAGCUUCCAAGGUGAUGAUACCCACUGAAGAAAGUGCUCAGGAUGGUAGGAUAUCCUCAAAGCAUAUAGUAGAAUUUAACUAAAGUAGUGCUACAAUCAACAGUAAGCUUCCAAUUGUCAUAUAACAUUCUGAUGCAGGAAAAACAUCAAGUAGUUUUCUUGGAACCAUAAAACAAUGAACAGCCAUUGAUCACUUUCUCCUGUGAGAGAGAGAGAGAAGCUGAGCAAUCCCUAUGUACACACAAACCCAUGUUGUGCAAAUGUUUGUAUGUGCCAUGCUAACGUUAGCAACUUUUCCAGCUACAGAGGGAUGUGUGGUUGUGUGUGUGUGUUAAUGUGUACACACCUGCACGUGUGUUUGCAGUGUGUGUGAUUAACAUCUUUUAUGCCUACUUGCAGUUUUGUCUUCUCUUCAUAUCAGCCUUGCUUCCUGAAUAGUCUUUUUUUCGAUGUUACUCCUUCACUAAUUGAGCAAAUGUGAUAAUUUGUAAUGGGUCUCCAACUCAUUAGUGUAAUUUAGUCAGGUUCUACUAUAUUUCGCCAGACACACCAACCAGGCUGCCGCUCACAUCUGUUUUUAGAGCUGUAUUUCAUAAGCAUCCGCAACAUUUCUGCUUUAAAAUUGAGAAAUGAUUGCCCCUUAAUCAGCUAUUUGUUAUCCUGAGCUACAUAAAUAUAUGCAGUGUCAACCACAAAUAACCUUAGGAUAGAACAUAGCAACAAUUAACAUUUGCAUAGAGCUUUAAAGUUUACAAAGCUUUUUUUGUAAGAAUGUCUAACUAUCUAAACAAAAUCCCAGUUAUUCCCCUGUGAGGGAAAGUAUGACAUAUUUUUUAAAUAACUUAUAAGGCAGAAUACCAUAAUACUUCCAAAAAUAGUUAUUGAGUCAGCCAGGCCUCUGCCAUGGGAUCUUGGCCAUUUAUUUAACCUCUCUGCGGUUAAAACUUCCUACCUUUAACAUCUAUAUAAUAUCUACCUCAUAUUAUUGGAAAGCUUGAAUUUUUCAUAAUGAAUACAAAGUUGUAGACACAUAGUAAAUGCUAAAUGAAUGCUAGGUGUUAACAUGAAUUUUGCAGAUAGGAACACUGUCCUUACUUAAAGAUGUUUACAUCAAAUAAGAGAGACAUGAGAGAGUUGUUAAGUAUAUAACUAGGGAUGCAGGCUGGGAAGACAUGGAGUUACUAAGAAAGGCAGUGUUGCUGCUCCUUACUGCUAGCCAGAAGGCUGGUGAGAUGAGCAUUAAAGCUCAAUAUCACAAGGCAGGAGCUAGCAGAGGCAAGGCCUCUAAGCUGAAGCCCUUCAACUUAAAACCACGUAAGUGUACGAAAUCGAGAUUAGAACAAAGAGUGCAAAUUUGAAAGCAAUCAAAGGUGUUACCAGAGAAGAAGGUGGGCCCAAGACAGAUACUGUAAACCUAGAGCAGAGGAUGAUGCUGAAGGU
rnacentral:lncRNA from 1 species